UAAUUUGGAAUCCCUGAAUCAUUGAGGA
rnacentral:piRNA from 1 species